CCUACGGGAGGCAGCAGUGGGGAAUAUUGGGCAAUGGGCGCAAGCCUGACCCAGCAACGCCGCGUGAAGGAAGAAGGCUUUCGGGUUGUAAACUUCUUUUAUCAGGGACGAAGCAAGUGACGGUACCUGAUGAAUAAGCCACGGCUAACUACGUGCCAGCAGCCGCGGUAUUACGUAGGUGGCAAGCGUUAUCAGGAUUUACUGGGUGUAAAGGGCGUGUAGGCGGGAGGGCAAGUCAGAUGUGAAAACUAUGGGCUCAAACCAUAGCCUGCAUUUGAAACUUUAAUUCUUGAGUGCUGGAGAGG
rnacentral:rRNA from 1 species